UAGUCCACGCCGUAAACGAUGUCAACUAGCCGUUGGGAAUUUUACAUUCUUAGUGGCGUAGCUAACGCGCUAAGUUGACCGCCUGGGGAGUACGGACGCAAGUUUAAAACUCAAAUGAAUUGACGGGGGCCCGCACAAGCGGUGGAGCAUGUGGUUUAAUUCGAUGCAACGCGAAGAACCUUACCAAUCCUUGACAUCCAGAGAAUUUGCUAGAGAUAGCUUAGUGCCUUCGGGAACUCUGAGACAGGUGCUGCAUGGCUGUCGUCAGCUCGUGUUGUGAAAUGUUGGGUUAAGUCCCGUAACGAGCGCAACCCCUAUCCUUAGUUGCUAACAUUAAGUUGAGGACUCUAAGGAGACUGCCGGUGACAAACCGGAGGAAGGUGGGGACGACGUCAAGUCAUCAUGGCCCUUACGGGAUUGGGGCUACACACGUGCUACAAUGGGGGUAUACAGAGGGGUUGCGAAGCGGCGACGUGGAGCGAAUCCCAGAAAGUAUCUCGUAGUCCGGGAUCGGGAGU
rnacentral:rRNA from 1 species